AUUGAACGCUGGCGGCAGGCCUAACACAUGCAAGUCGAACGAGUGGCGGACGGGUGAGUAAUGGCUGGGAAACUGCCUGAUGGAGGGGGAUAACUACUGGAAACGGUAGCUAAUACCGCAUAACCACGGAUGUGCACAGAUGGGAUUAGCUAGUAGGUGGGGUAAAGGCUCACCUAGGCGACGAUCCCUAGCUGUGCUGAGGGGAUGACCAGCCACACUGGAACGUAGACACGGUCCAGACUCCUACGUGAGGCAGCAGUGGGGAAUAUUGAACAAUGGGCGCAAGCCUGAGGCAGCCAUGCCGCGUGUAUGAAGAAGGCCUUCGGGUUGUAAAGUACUUUCAGCGGGGAGGCGUUACCCGCAGAAGAAGCACCGGCUAACUCCGUGCCAGCCGCCGCGGUAAUUC
rnacentral:rRNA from 1 species